CUGCUGACAUCCAUGUAAGACGCGACUCCUUCCUCCUUGCCUUUCGCCAUGAUUGUGAGGCUCCCCCAGCCACGUGGAACUGCUAGAACCCCCAGUUCCAUGUUCAACAGAAGGUGUGGUGGUGCGCACCUGUAAUCCCAGCUACUCAGGAGGCCGAGGCAGGAGAAUCGCUUGAACCCAGG